rnacentral:rRNA from 1 species
GACGAACGCUGGCGGCGUGCCUAAUACAUGCAAGUCGAGCGCAGGAAACUGACGGAACUCUUCGGAGGGAAGGCAGUGGAAUGAGCGGCGGACGGGUGAGUAACACGUAAGGAACCUGCCUCAAGGAUUGGGAUAACUCCGAGAAAUCGGAGCUAAUACCGGAUAGUUCAUCGGACCGCAUGGUCCGUUGAUGAAAGGCGCUCCGGCGUCACCUUGAGAUGGCCUUGCGGUGCAUUAGCUAGUUGGUGGGGUAACGGCCCACCAAGGCGACGAGGCAUAGCCGGCCUGAGAGGGUGAUCGGCCACACUGGGACUGAGGCACGGCCCAGACUCCUACGGGAGGCAGCAGUAGGGAAUCUUCCACAAUGGACGAAAGUCUGAUGGAGCAACGCCGCGUGAGUGAUGAAGGUUUUCGGAUCGUAAAACUCUGUUGUAAGGGAAGAACACGUACGAGAGGGAAUGCUCGUACCUUGACGGUACCUUACGAGAAAGCCACGGCUAACUACGUGCCAGCCGCCGCCGUAA